AUUGAACGCUGGCGGCAUGCUUUACACAUGCAAGUCGGACGGCAGCGCGGGCUUCGGCCUGGCGGCGAGUGGCGAACGGGUGAGUAAUACAUCGGAACGUGCCCAGUAGUGGGAGAUAGCUCGGCGAAAGCCGGAUUAAUACCGCAUACGACCUGAGGGUGAAAGCGGGGGACUUUAGGGCCUCGCGCUAUUGGAGCGGCCGAUGGCAGAUUAGCUAGUUGGUGGGGUAAAGGCCUACCAAGGCGACGAUCUGUAGCUGGUCUGAGAGGACGACCAGCCACACUGGGACUGAGACACGGCCCAGACUCCUACGGGAGGCAGCAGUGGGGAAUUUUGGACAAUGGGCGCAAGCCUGAUCCAGCAAUGCCGCGUGUGUGAUGAAGGCCUUCGGGUUGUAAAGCACUUUUGGCAGGAACGAAAAGUGCCGUGCUAAUACCACGGUACGAUGACGGUACCUGCAGAAUAAGCACCGGCUAACUACGUG
rnacentral:rRNA from 1 species